rnacentral:tRNA from 1 species
AGAAAGGUAAGCUAAAUAAGCUACCAGGUUCAUACCCUGUUUAUAGAGGUUAGUUAUCCUCUCCUCUCUA